rnacentral:rRNA from 1 species
UACAGAGGGUGCGAGCGUUGUUCGGAAUUAUUGGGCGUAAAGGGCGCGUAGGCGGCGCCACAAGUCACUUGUGAAAACUCUGGGCUCAACUCAGAGCCUGCAAGCGAAACUGUGGUGCUGGAGUAUGGGAGAGGUGCGUGGAAUUCCCGGUGUAGCGGUGAAAUGCGUAGAUAUCAGGAGGAACACCUGUGGUGUAGACAGCUUACUGGACCAUCACUGACGCUGAG